UUCUAGGAUUGGUUGUCCACUCAUAACCAUAAGAUAAUUAAAACGGGGGGGGGGGCAGGGUAAAAAAAAAACCCUUUUAUCAGCCAUAGGUUAAUGCAAGUGUUUAACAGAUGCUUCGCUAUUAAAAUAUUUUCCCCCAAUACUGAAGAAUCUUAAACCAGCAACCCUAACAGAGAUUGCGAAGAUUUUCAAAGUGGGGCACCUCGAUUUCUCGAAUCUGUGGUGUGGCGAAUAUCCGUGUUCCUCCUGCUUAACUAGCCUGUUUGCAUCUUUUGACACAUUUUACUUCCGUAAUUUUGGACUGCCAG
rnacentral:lncRNA from 1 species